UAGAGCAGGUAGCCUAGUGGUUAGAGCAGGUAGCCUAGUGGUUAGAGCAGGUAGCCUAGUGGUUAGAGCAGGUUGCCUAGUGGUUAGAGCAGGUUGCCUAGUGGUUAGAGCAGGUAGCCUAGUGGUUAGAGCAGGUAGCCUAGUGGUUAGAGCAGGUUGACUAGUGGUUAGAGCAGGUAGCCUAGUGGUUAGAGCAGGUUGCCUAGGGGUUAGAGCAGGUAGCCUAGUGGUUAGAGCAGGUAGCCUAGUGGUUAGAGCAGGUAGCCUAGUGGUUAGAGCAGGUAGCCUAGUGGUUAGAGCAGGUAGCCUAGUGGUUAGAGCAGGUAGCCUAGUGGUUAGAGCAGGUAGCCUAGUGGUUGGAGCAGGUAGCCUAGUGGUUGGAGCAGCUAGCCUAGUGGUUAGAGCAGGUAGCCUAGUGGUUAGAGCAGCUAGCCUAGUGGUUAGAGACAGGUAGCCUAGUGGUUAGAGCAGGUAGCCUAGUGGUUAGAGCAGGUAGCCUAGUGGUUAGAGCCUAGUGGUUAGAGCAGGUAGCCUAGUGGUUGGAGCAGGUAGCCUAGUGGUUGGAGCAGCUAGCCUAGUGGUCAGAGCAGCUAGCCUAGUGGUUAGAGCAGGUAGCCUAGUGGUUAGAGACAGGUAGCCUAGUGGUUAGAGCAGGUAGCCUAGUGGUUAGAGUCUAGUGGUUAGAGCCUAGUGGUUAGAGCAGUUAGCCUAGUGGUUGAUCAGCUAGCCUAGUUGUUAGAGCCUAGUGGUUAGAGCAGGUAUCCUAGUGGUUAGAGCCUAGUGGUGAGAGCAGGUAGCCUAGUGGUUAGAGCAUUGGACUAGUAACCGAAAGAUCGAAUCCCCCGAGCUGAGAAGGUAAAAAUCUGUCCUUCUGCCCCUGAACUGUUCCCCGGUAGGCCGUCAUUGUCAAUAACAUUUUUUCUUAACUGACUUGUUAAAUUAAAGAUAAAAUGUAAAAAAACGCUACACACAGCCUACAUCGUUG
ensembl:lncRNA